rnacentral:lncRNA from 1 species
AAGCAGCCUGCCUUAGUGUGCCCAGAGGGGUGGUUUCCCCGUGCCUGGAAGGGAAGCACGCGCCUUACAGCCCUGCUCCUGCAGCGCCUCCCAGAGCAUCAAGUCAGCACGUUUACAAUGCCUAGGUUACACACAGGUGUACAGCAUGAGUUUAAGAAGUGUAGUUUGUAUUUAUUAAUGUAUAGCGCUAGCGUCUGCUGCUGUUUUACCUUCCAGAUAACAAAACACUUAAACCUUGGCCAUCAGUUCUCUCCUUAGCCGCGACACUACUACCUACGGAAGCAGCUUUCGGGAUGCUGCUGGCUGAUGGAGCCUUCUGGCUGCAGCUCCCGGUCCCAGUGCCGCCACAGGCGUUGGGAUGGGCUUGGGCUGUGCUCUGUGCUACUGGAGAAUGACGAGCUGCUGGGCUCUGUGCCUCACUGACAGCUGCUGGGUGCGCAGGGCGGUGGCUGUCCGAGCAGUCCGAUGUGCUCGGUGAGAUGUUCCUCUCCUUUAGGUGCUUGUAGGUGAUAGCAAUGCCGUGAGCUGUGUCUGUCCGUCUGUCUGUCCUUGCUCCCGGGGCGCAGGAGUUCUUGCCCGUCGGUGUUACCCGUUAAUGACAGGCGACUGUUGCCUUACUGCUUAACUUCAUGUAGUAAUCUUCAAUAAAGCGACCUUGGCUCUCAGGCUCUACGCUGUUAUUUACACCGCCGUUAAUGGGGAAAUAGUAAUAAUUAAAAUAUAAAAAGCUGAGCACCCCCGCGCUCCAAACGCUUUUCGUCUCCGCUCCCAUUCGUUCCUACUGAUUCCGCCGCGGUGGCUCGUCUCUAUGGUUGGCAGUGCCUAGAGCGCCCCCACCGCUUCUCUCGCGACCGCACGUCGCUAGCGGAAGUGACGUCACUUCCGGAUCCCACCGCCUGCCGGGAUCGAGGCGGAGCGGCGCGGGGCCGCCAUGUCGACGUCGCUGGGCUCCAACACUUACAACCGGCAGAACUGGGAGGAUGCGGACUUCCCUAUUCUGUGCCAGACGUGUCUUGGAGAAAACCCAUACAUUCGCAUGGUAUGUGCUUGUGGCCCUGUGCCCUUCGUUGGGUGCUGAUGGCCAUAGAACUGUUCGGUUUUGAGGGCUCAAGCAAGCUUGGGUGCAGGAGGAGAUGCUGAGGACAUGCACUCCUGGCUCCUUGGCCAUGCACUGCAGGGUUUAGUUCAUGCCUUUUGAGUGCAUCACAUCACGGUGGUCGGUGCAGGGUUUAACAUUAACUCAGUCAAAAAGCUGAGCAGGAUGUCACUGUCUAAUGUCUGGAGUGCAGGAAAUACCAAUAAAGCUUUGGUACCAGUAAGUCA